rfam:Desulfatibacillum alkenivorans AK-01, complete genome.
UGCGGGGUGGAGCAGUCUGGUAGCUCGUCGGGCUCAUAACCCGAAGGUCGUUGGUUCGAAUCCAGCCCCCGCUA